CCUACGGGAGGCAGCAGUGGGGAAUAUUGGGCAAUGGGCGCAAGCCUGACCCAGCAACGCCGCGCGAAGGAAGAAGGCUUUCGGGUUGUAAACUUCUUUUCUCAGGGACGACGAAAGUGACGGUACCUGAGGAAUAAGCCACGGCUAACUACGUAACAGCAGCCGCGGUAAUACGUAGGUGGCAAGCGUUAUCCGGAUUUACUGGGUGUAAAGUGCGUGUAGGCGGGGAAGCAAGUCAGAUGUGAAAACCACGGGCUCAACCUGUGGACUGCAUUUGAGACUGUUUUUCUUGAGUACUGGAGAGGCAGACGGAAUUCCUAGUGUAGCGGUGAAAUGCGUAGAGAUUAGGAGGAACACCAGUGGCGGAAGCGGUCUGCUGGACAGCAACUGACGCUGAGGAGCGAAAGCGAGGGGAGCAAACAGGAUUAGAUACCCCUGUAGUC
rnacentral:rRNA from 1 species